CAGAGUGGACAGGCGGUCGCGCCCCGAGCGAAAGCGGAGGGUGAGGAAAGUCCGAACUCCAAAGGGCAGGGCGCCGGAUAACGUCCGGGAGGGGCAACCCUACGGAAAGUGCAACAGAAACAUACCACCCCAGCGCGGCAUCUGUCCGUUGGGGCAAGGGUGAAAUGGCGAGGUAAGAGCUCACCGGCAGCCGGGUAACCGUCUGGCCGGGCAAACCCCGCCUGGAGCAAGACCAAAUAGGAGGGAAGAGACUGCCCGUCUCGUCAGAACCCUCGGGUUGGUCGCUUGAGACGUUGGGCAACCAACGCCCCAGACAGAUGAUCGCCACCCCGUUCGCGGGGGACAGAAUUCGGCUUAUCGGCCACCCUGUGUC
rnacentral:RNase_P_RNA from 1 species